GACGGCCUGGUCGGUGGAGGGGCCGGGGGGCGCGAUCCCGGUCGUGACCUUCGAUCAGGGGCACGGGCCGAUCCGGUCGGUCGGCUAUCG
rnacentral:tRNA from 2 species